rnacentral:lncRNA from 1 species
CGUUGGGUAGCAUCCUUUCAGGAGAUGUGAGUAUAAAGGAUUCAGAAAGUACAAUAAUGGUUUUACCUUAAUUACUCUAUUCAAGUUUUACCUUUUGGUUCUAUAUUGAUUUCUGUAAUCUUAUGCAACCCAAUGAUACUUCAUGUUCAGAUCAAAAGUAUUGGGCAGCUGGUAUCCAGUGUGCCCCUAGAGGCACAUUCCAUUUCUUCAAUACAUGAUACAGUGUGGCGGGUGCUGGUUUGUUUCUCUUCCUGGUGACUUCCUUUUAUUUAUUUAUUUAUUACAAGUCGUGAUUAAAGAUGACUUCCUUCGUUAUACUAAUCUGAAAGCUAAGUCUGAUUCAGUUGAGUUCUUGCACACAACUCCUGAUGCAAUGUAUGAGUAAGGCAAUUUAAAAAGUGUAGGAUCAUCAACAUAGUUUUUUUGCUGCUUCCGUCACAUGUUUAUCUUUGACGACAAGCUCUUUAUUAUGAAUUGUAGUCCGGCGGAUGUCUCUUACAUUGGUAUUUAAAUUUAUAUAUUUGAGCUAUGUCUCUAUUUUGUUUGCAACAACAAAUGAAGACGGACAUUUGCUCGAGGCUGCUUCUACUUUUGAGACAUAGUGGGGGACAUUAAGAUUUACAGCAAAUAUAUGAGAGUCGAGAAAUGCACAUAACCUCAAGUUAUAUUUUCUAUUGUAACCAGACAUAUAAGAUAAAAUGUUUCUUCAUUUUUCACUCAUCAAGGUUGCCAAGUGCCAAAAACAAUAGCUAUACAAAGUAACUACGGAAACCUUGAUAGAAAUAUUAUAUUUCUUUGAUGGGCCCCAGUUUCAUAUGAGGAAAACAAAUCAGGUGUGUUUCUUCUAUGUCUAAUUUGUAUAAGUGCAUAUUUGCAUGAAAGUUUUUUAUUAGGCGGAAAUGGUUGACUUAUUUAACCAACUAUCAUGCACCCAGGUAUGUCCAUAUGCAUUUCUUUUUUCUUUAGGCUUGGAGCUUUAUGCUUGGAAAUUGAUGUUGGCCAAAGUUACUUCAAUGGAAUGGUGCCAGUAUGUGAUUUAAAUAUAGUUGAAGAACAUUUACCUUAUUUUUCAGGUUUUAGUAACCAUUUUUUGUUGGUUGUCAAUAUUGCUACAUUGGUACUUGGGUUGUUGUACUGGGCACAUCUUAUUUCAAUCACUAUCUAUAGUUUCAGCUCAUUAGCUAAUGAAUUACCUUGGAAAGUAUGGUACCAUGUCAUAUAAUGAAUAUAAUCCUGGUUGUUUUUUGUUGUUGUCAUUUUCUUACAACGGCAGUAAGUACUAUUAUAUAUGGCAAUAUGAGACAUGCUUGUGAAGUGGCAUUUCUCUUUAGUGAUUUACUUCAAGGUAUUAUCGAUCUCCUAUACUGAGCGUCGACAAAUGGGAAAUUUAAAUUCUAUCUCCUGGGCAAUAUGAGUAGUUGAGUACUUGGGUUGCUAUAUUGGGCACAUCUGAUUUCAAUCACUAUCUAUAGUUUCAGCUCAUUAGCUAAUGAAUUGCCUUGGAAAGUAUGGUACCAUGUCGUAUAAUGAAUAUAAUCCUUUUUGUUUUUUGUUGUUGUCAUUUUCUUACACCGGCAGUAAGUACUAUUAUAUACUGCAAUAUGAGACAUGCUUGUGAAGUGGCAUUUCUCUUUAGUGAUUUACCGCAAGGUAUUAUCGAUCUCCUAUGUUGAGUGUCGACAAAUGGGAAAUUUAGAUUCAGUAUGAGUCUGGAUGAAGAGGAGGCAGAUAACAUAAUCUUGGUGAAGAUAUUUCAAUGGAGGCAGGAUAGUGUUUCACAAUUGAUUUUUUUAGUAGAGCAAUAGCAAAUUGUAUUGCUUGGUUGUUACAUCCCCUUUUCAAUGUAUUUUUUACCCAUUAUUGACUUGGAAUAGAUGAUAGCUAACAAGCAAGUUCGAAGUUACUAUAAAAAUAUCAUAAAAUUGUCGGGC